rnacentral:tRNA from 1 species
AAUACUGUGCCUGAAAAAGGAUUAUUUUGAUAGAAUAAAUCAUACAAACUUAUAUUUGUCUUUAUUA